GGAGAAGGAAAUGGCUUCUGUUCUUCUUUCUGCUCUUUAUGCUGAUGUUAUCAACCCUACCCAGAUUAGUCAGGGAUUUUUCAUGCUUGUGGAGUCUGCUGAUGACUUGGCAGUGGACAUACCAGAUACUGUUGAUAUCCUUGCUUUGUUCAUCGCACGGGCUGUUGUCGAUGACAUUCUUCCACCUGCUUUUAUUGCAAGAGCCAGAAAAAUGCUCCCAGAAUCUUCCAAGGGGAUACAGGUGCUGCAAACUGCUGAGAAGAGCUAUCUAUCAGCUCCUCACCAUGCAGAACUCGUUGAGAGGCGCUGGGGUGGCAGCACCCAUUUCACUGUUGAGGAAGUCAAGAAAAGAAUUGCUGAUCUAUUGAGGGAGUAUGUUGAGAGUGGAGACACUGCUGAGGCCUGCAGAUGCAUAAGAAAAUUGGAAGUUUCUUUUUUCUAUCAUGAAGUUGUCAAGAGAGCUUUAGUUUUGGCCAUGGAGAUGCAGUCUGCUGAACCGCUUAUUCUGAAACUUUUGAAGGAGGCUGCAGAAGAGGGUCUUAUAAGUUCCAGUCAA
rnacentral:misc_RNA from 1 species